CCGAUCUGCAACAGGAAGUUAUGAAAUGUACCUUGUACAAUUUCAUCUUCUAAACUCCUAAUGCCCUUUAUUUCAUACAGUAACUUGUUUUUAAAUUAGUAUGGGUUUCAUUUUCAUUGUAAUUUUUAACACUCAGCAACAGAAACAUUUUUUCUCUUAUAAACGAUAAUUAAUCAAAAAGGGAGAAGCUUAUAAUAUUCUUGAUUAGUGGGAAAUUACCUUUACUGUGUAGGGAUUUUAAAAUUCAGCAUACUUAAGCAAAUCACAUUAGGACCUUCAAACGGUUAUCAUCAUCUAGAAUUACAAUAAGACACCUAACCAAUACUGGAUUGCCAGCAGAAUUCUAAUUUCUUCAUUCUUGAGUUUUCCUGUGAGAAUCGUCAUGGCUCUCACCAUUAGUGAAUACCAUCUGUAAAAUCCUCCAUCCAAAAGGAUUUCAAGUCUUCUUAUGCUAAGCCAAAAGAAUGGACAUCAUCCACUUUUCUUCUCCUCUCAUCACAAUAUGAAAAUGAGAUAAUUGGACCUCCUGAAUACUAAGGUACAGGCCCUGUUAUAUGGUGUUCCAUGCACCUUAAAAACCCCUUUGUGUAUCUGUCACCUCUAGAUUCUGAAGCAGAAAACUGGAAAUUAUGUGGCUUAUUUUUCCAUGAACUAAUUUAAUUUAAAAAUACUGGAUGAAACACUGUAUUAAUACUUGAUACGUUACAAUUAAAAAAAAUCUGACAAAAAUAAAUACUUGAUGUUCUCUCUUCCCACUACUUUUCUGUAGGCCUACAAAUGCUCUCCUUUCAUACUGCCAUACCACAGCCUGCAGAAACAUCAUUACUUGAAAGAGGAGACACCUAUUAGAGGUUCUCCAGAAACACACUGCACACAGGAAACAAUAAAGCAUCAUUAUCUCAGCAAU